rnacentral:misc_RNA from 1 species
CCAAUAGCGUAUAUUAAAGUUGUUGCAGUUAAAAAGCUCGUAGUUGAAUUUCGGGAUCAAUAUGUUGGUCGUGCCUCGGUACGUACUAGCAUAUUGGUUUCUCCUUUCUGAAGAACCAUGAUGUCAUUUAUUUGGUGUCGUGGGGAAUCAGGACUGUUACUUUGAAAAAAUUAGAGUGUUUAAAGCAGGCUCACGCUUGAAUACAUUAGCAUGGAAUAAUGAAAUAGGACGUUUGAUUCUAUUUUGUUGGUUUCUAGGAUCGACGUAAUGAUUAAUAGGGAUAGUUGGGGGCAUUAGUAUUCAAUUGUCAGAGGUGAAAUUCUUGGAUUUAUUGAAGACUAACUACUGCGAAAGCAUUUGCCAAGGAUGUUUUCAUUAAUCAAGAACGAAAGUUAGGGGAUCGAAGACGAUCAGAUACCGUCGUAGUCUUAACCAUAAACUAUGCCGACUAGGAAUCGGGCGAUGUUGAAAAAAUGACGCGCUCGGCACCUCAUG